CCUAGGCUUUUUCACUGAUUGGCCUGGCGCUCACUGUUUCAGAUAGGCGGUCUGGCUGGCAAGUCCCCCCAAGAUCCACUGUCCCUGCCCCCAACAUGGCUACAGAUGAAGAUGUGAUCUCUCGGUUUCCUGCCCUGGCUGUCUGCUGCCGACGCCCCCCACCAUAUGGACUCUGCAACUCCCAGAACCGGCAGAGCCAAGCAACGGAGUACUGAACUCUCUGAGAGUGUGAGACAAGGCAAGU